rnacentral:lncRNA from 10 species
GUUUCAUGAAAGAGGAAGCAGCAAGGCUGGGCCUUGAAGAACGUGAAGGAGUCACCCAGCUAGAGAGGGCAGGAGGGUGUUCCACGAAGUACAAACAUCAUGAACAGAAAGUCAAAGAGUGAAAGUGAAGGGAGGAUUGGGGAGCAGUGAACAGACAAUGUGAGAGAGCUGCGGCACCAUGGAGAAGAGUAAUGAGAGGGACAUCCUGAAGGAAAGACAAUAUGAAGGACUGUCGAUGCCAAAGAAAGGACUUUCAGCCAUAUGCACGCAAUGGGGAGCAAUGCAAGAUUGUCAACCAAGAGACUGAGGUGACCAGAUCUGCUUCACAGCAGCAGCAGCAGCAGUGUACAUGGAAGAUUAGAGGACCGAGAGAGAUGCAUGUCAGGAAAAUCAGCUAACAGACUCUAAAAUAACUAAGACUUGAGAAAGAUCUGGAUCAAAGCUUUAACAGCAGCAAUAAAGAAAAAAGAAGAGACAUUUCUGUAAUCAGAUCUAGAAAAGUUGAUGACCCCCAGGAUAACAGCCAUGAAAGUGCUGCUACCACAAACAUGAGGAAACUUCUGUUAGGAGUUCAACCUUCAGAGAGGACAGCUGGCAGUGCAAGAUGGUGACAGCCCUGCAAUCAGGAGAAGAAAGUCAUGAGACCUGUUUCUCCAGGUUUCCCGCCUCCUUCCACCUUCUGUACAGGACACACCAGUUCCCUCAAGCCCAAAAUGUGAGCAGCUGUCAUUCUCUGCAUAGCCAAGCUCGGCAGUCUGCCGAAAGGGACAAGCCAGUCCCGCAAAGGAAUGAUGUAUGCCAAAAGAUACUGCAUUAGGAUCUUCAUUAACUGGAGGGCCAAUAAAUUUAUGAAAAUCAUGAAUCAGUUAAUCCAUUCCUUACGAUGAAUAGCUAAUUAACAUGAGGACAGGGCCUGACCCUUCUAUUCAUCUCUACUCACUCCUGAGCUUCCUGUUACAGACAGGCUCCAGGGCA